GAUGACAUUCAUUGGUACGUAGCAGUUGUAAAUGCCAGAUUAAGAUGUAUCCAGGUGCUCGACUCGCUAGGCAGUGGAAUGCACCGCAAAGAUCUCGCGGCUAUGCUACAAGGACUGGAAAAUGUUUUCACAUAUGCAUUGACGUGCAUGGAACUAAGAUCUGAUAAAUGGAAGGACCUAAACAUCAAAACAUGGAAAAUAGAAGAGUGUAUUAAGAGAAGCCUACAGACAGAUGGGUCAUCGUGUGGAUUGUGGAGGUUAAAUUUCAUGGAAUACUGGACAUGAAAUAUUUUGUCUGACAUUUUUUACCAGGAACACAUGAUAAAUUUUAGGACAAAAUUGGCGGUAAUAUUGGUCGAUUCGGAAUUGAACAAUGAUGACAUAAGAAAUCGAGAUUUGUCCCUUGAUGAGGACGAUAACACGGAUCCCACCGAUUGUAUGAUUCUGGAUGAU